rnacentral:rRNA from 1 species
CCUACGGGAGACAGCAGUGAGGAAUAUUGGUCAAUGGACGAGAGUCUGAACCAGCCAAGUAGCGUGAAGGAUGACUGCCCUAUGGGUUGUAAACUUCUUUUAUAAAGGAAUAAAACGAGGCACGUGUGCCUUUUUGCAUGUACUUUAUGAAUAAGGAUCGGCUAACUCCGUGCCAGCAGCCGCGGUAAUACGGAGGAUCCGAGCGUUAUCCGGAUUGAUUGGGUUUAAAGGGAGCGUAGAUGGGUUGUUAAGUCAGUUGUGAAAGUUUGCGGCUCAACCGUAAAAUUGCAAUUGAUACUGGCAGUCUUGAGUACAGUUGAGGUAGGCGGAAUUCGUGGUGUAGCGGUGAAAUGCUUAGAUAUCACGAAGAACCCCGAUUGCGAAGGCAGCUUACUAAACUGUGACUGACAUUGAUGCUCGAAAGUGUGGGUAUCAAACAGGAUUAGAUACCCUUGUAGUC